CUGCCUCAGCCUCCUGAGUAGCUAAGGGAGGUGUCUUGAGAUUAUCAUCGGCUGAGGGUGGAAGCGGCCCCCGCAGACGCUCGGCAGGUGUCUUGAGAUUAUCAUCUGCUGAGGGUGGAAGCGGCCCCCGCAGACGCUCGGCAGGUGUCUUGAGAUUAUCAUCCGCUGAGGGUGGAAGGGGAGUGAGCAGACACUCAGGAGGUGUCUUGAGUUUAUCAUCCGCUGAG
rnacentral:lncRNA from 1 species